rnacentral:lncRNA from 1 species
GAGAGCGGCGGGGCGCCGGCGGCGGAGCGCGUGUGGAGGCGGCAACUUCGCGAAGUGGCACUUCGGGGCGGGCGGCCGGCCCGCCGGGUCACGGCCUGGCGCUGCGGGGAGGGCACCCGAGCGGCUCGGAUGCAGGACGCCGCGGGCCGGGUUUACAGGUGGGAGAGGCCCCGACCCCACCGCUUCGCCGGCCAGCUUCUUGCUGUGCUCUCUGCACCCACCGACCUAACACGCAGCACUAGGACUGACGUCCACUGGCCUGAACUGGGUCUGGGGCCAACACGGAGCAGGUGGGGGUAGAGCAGCCCUGCUCGCCUGGAGGAAAGUUGAAUGAUGGGAACCAAGAUGACAGAUGGAGGCUGGCAGGCAAACAAGGGAGGUCUCCUCACUCCAAGAGGGGAGUCAGCCUGGGGACAGUUCUUCUCCAGGCCCUGCUGCUCCUAUCAGCUGCAACACAGCAGAGGUGGGCAAGUGGCUGAAUGCGCGCCAGAGGCCUUCCCUGAGAAGAGGGUUAUCAGAACACCUGCCAUACAUGGACGUGACCAGCUCAGCACCUGAGAAGAUGCACUGCAGCUGAUGACAGGCGCGGAGCAGGACGUGGUGAGGUCCUCGUACAUAGGAAUGGAGAAUAAGGGCAAGGAACUCGGUGCCCGCCUGGCAUCUGCCCUGCACCAGUGGUCUC